rnacentral:lncRNA from 1 species
CCUCAUGAUCCGCCCACCUCGGCCUCCCAAAGUGCUGGGAUUACAGGCGUGAGCCACCACGCCCGGCCAAUGAAGUCAUCAUUUUUACACUAGCAAAAUAUGGUAAGCCUGGCUUCCUGGGACUAACCCAAGCUUUGCAAAAUCUAAACAUUUAAUGCUUAAAAAAUGCAAUUCUUAUACUUACUAAAAGAUCUUAUAACUAAGGCAGAAAUGCUUACAUGAAUAACUGAUUUGGACUAAACACUGUAAACCCGUGAGUUUGUUUAUGCCCUAUCCUGAGGUAAAUUUGGACCUUCAGUCAAUUCUAGUAGAAAUUUGUUCACUUCUCCCUGGUUCUUCAUUUGAACAUGUCAAAUAGUUACAAAUAUUUAUAUGAUAACCUUUUAUAUUAUAGCUGCAUCAAAUACAAGCACUGUAAGAAAAGAAGGGGAAAAUUGUUUUUCUUUAACAAAUUAUGAUACAGAGUUUAUGCUAAAAGGCAACUUGUGAAUCUCUUUCAUCCUCAUAUGCCUUACACCUACAAAAGAGCAUUGUUACUCAUUUGAUAAAAGCAUUAUCAAAUGUGUAUUUUCAGAAUCAUUUAUGAACACUGCUCUAGUAAAAAUGUUAAGAGAUGCAUGUCACAGAUAUUCACAUCUUAGCUCAUUUAUCUGCAAGUCAAAGACUAGUUUUAAGCAAAGGAGAAUUACUUUGCUUAAGCAACUCCAAGUGACUGCCAUUUCUAAAACCCAGGAGGGAAGUGACAAGUACUGGGACAAGCCAGAAGAAGAGUCAUUUCCAGGCCUGCAAGAGCUUUUCUGGCAACCUAAAUAUAUUGACAGAGAAGUUGUUGGGUCUCCAUAUUUCUUCAGUAAGCUUCCAUUUGGCAGGCAUACUUUAAUCAAGUAGAUGAUUUAAGUCCAGCAAACCUGCAUGCUACAAAAUAAUUCUGACUCAAACUUGCAGGCCUUUUCUAUUUGUAGUUUCCCCCUACUCCCGUUUUACUAAUAGGGAGGCAAAAAUGAGUCCUUUGGACAAAGCAUCUUACGUUUGGUACAGGCUUUGGAAGCUGCAUUGUGGAUGGGACCAAACACCAGCUUUUUGGGAUCUGACAGACCAAAAUGUAAAUGACUGUUCCUCCAUCUACAACUUGAGUAAUCUGAAUAAGCCAUUUAACCUCUCAGAGUUUCCUUUUCUUUUUUUUUUGAGAUGGAGUCUCUCUCUGUCGCCCAGACUGGAGUGCAGUGGCGCAAUCUUGGCUUACUGCAACCUCCACCUCCCAGAUUCAAGCAAUUCUCCUGCCUCAGCCACCCGAGUAGCUGGGACUGCAGGCACAUGCCACCACGCCCACUAAUUUUUUGUAUUUUUAGUAAAGACAGGGUUUCAACGUGUUAGCCAGGAUGGUCUCGAUCUCCCGACCUCGUGAUCUGCCCGCCUCGGCCUCCCAAAGUGCUGGGAUUACAGGCAUGAGCCACUGCGCCCGGCCUCUCUCAGAAUUUCUUUACUCAUGAUGUUGGAAAAAAAUAAACUUCCUUGUUGUGAGAAUUAGGAAUAAGCUAUGCACAUGGUCCGGCAGACAGUUAGCUCUCAGUAAAGAGUAACUCUUGGUUUUGUUUGUUUGUUAUGUGUUGUUUGUGUUGCUCUUGUGGUGGUUGUGGUGGUGAUGAUUAUGGUUUUGCCCGUUCCUCAUAAGAGGAUCUUGUGUUUGCCUGUUCACAAGUAAACAGUGCUAUAGUAGCCUGGUCCUCUUCUCAUGGCCUGCACCAGUAGUUCUCCACAGUGGGUGAUCUUGCCCCCUCGGGGACAUAUCCUACAAUGCACAGAACAGCCCUCCCCCGGUAAAGAAUUAUCCAGCCCAAAUGGCAAUAGUGCUGAGGUUAAGAAAUUUAUUAUGUUUAUUUAUGAUAAACAUAAUAAACUCUAGAGGCAGGAAAACCUUAACAACCAUCAGUAUAUUCAUCACAAAUUUGAAACUAUACAUGAAGAGAAUGAAGGACCAUUUUAGAAAUAAGCAUAAAAUAAGUAUGGAUAACUAUUAAACAGGCUGCCUGGUCAAUCAGCGUGGCUGGAUGUGUUCAUGAUAUAUUCUUUUUUAACAGUACAUUCAUUCAUGCUUCAGGUACAUAUAGCAUGAUGAAGUCAAUGCUCAACACCACCAACCUGAAAUAAAUAGUUAACUUGCCGUAGACAAAGGGGCUUUCAGUAAUACCCUAAAUCUCCAAUUCCACGAAUUAAAAAUCUUAAUAUGGGUGUGCUACAUAUCUAAAAGCUGAUCAGACUGGACAUUUAAGAUGAAUACACUUUCUACACUUUAAUGUAUAAAAAUGUUUAUAUAUUUCAGUAUAUAAACAUUUUAUGAAAAUAAAUCUGUUAUAUAAUCCAAACAGAACUGGGCUAAAGUUAGCUUUGCUUUGGAGAUGACACCAUAUAACUAACAGUAUAAACCAAUUUAGAGUGUGUGUGGACCCUUCUGCACAUUUGAAAUACCUCUGUACAUUGAAAUGACUAAACUGCCUUUUCAGAUCACACUUACUCAAGCCAGUCCUCUCAGCUCAACAACUUUUAUUAGUGGACUAUGAGUUUUAAAAUAAAAAGCUCAUGUGUAUAUAUUUUUUAAUUAUCACAACUAACUCAGAAAGUCCUGUUCUCUUUUCAACUCAAGCUAGUGAGGUCAUCCAAGUCUAAGACGAUUUGAUUUCUCACUUGAGGAAUGGCAUUUUCAAACCACUUCAAGAAACAAAGAGCUAACCUGGGGAAUGUCUGAGGGUAGAAGGAAGUACAAAUUGGGAAAAGGGGUAAAGUCUAGUAAUAAUCGGCAUUCUACUCUCUCCCCCCAGUUUUUGAGCAAUGUACAUACAGUUUUAUACUCAGGAUAUAAAAAUGCCAAAAAAUAUAUUUAAUUGACAAUAAAGUAAUAAUGUGGUUUUUAUGCUAUUUAUUUGAAAUAGAAUUUUAGAAAAUUAUGCACGUGUUUAAUCCUGUAAAUAGUAAUGAGAGAGAGCAUUUGAACCGCUGAGAACCUAAACUUUCCACUUAACUUUUAAUGUAGAAAGGAUCGGUGCUAUUGAAAAACUGUCUAACUAUCCUACGAAAGUGAGACGAUGGUCUUCAGGCCACAAUCAUAGUCCCUCAGAGCUUUCAGAAUCUGAAGGAGGUGACUGCAGGUCCCCAGGAGGGGUGAGGAGGAUGGCAAGUGGGUGAAGGUCCAGACCUCAACUCAAGAGCAGCUCCCCUUUGAUCUCCUUGACAUAUUUGGAAUCCCUCACAAAUUUGCAUUUGGGAAAAGAGCUCUCCUGCUUAAAAAAAAUAUGAAAGCCUCUAUCAAUAAUUUAUUCUUAACAGCUUUUGUAAUGAUUUAAUUUAUUUAAUCAGUCCUCCUUCUGGUGGCCAUAUAGAUAUUUUCCCAAAUGGAUGAUGUUACAAACUGAUGUUAUCAACAAACUGGGCAACUAA